GGGGAUGGCGGCAGCCUACACUGCAAGUCGAACGGUAGCACAGAGAGCUUGCUCUCGGGUGACGAGUGGCGGACGGGUGAGUAAUGUCUGGGAAACUGCCUGAUGGAGGGGGAUAACUACUGGAAACGGUAGCUAAUACCGCAUAAUGUCGCAAGACCAAAGAGGGGGACCUUCGGGCCUCUUGCCAUCAGAUGUGCCCAGAUGGGAUUAGCUAGUAGGUGGGGUAACGGCUCACCUAGGCGACGAUCCCUAGCUGGUCUGAGAGGAUGACCAGCCACACUGGAACUGAGACACGGUCCAGACUCCUACGGGAGGCAGCAGUGGGGAAUAUUGCACAAUGGGCGCAAGCCUGAUGCAGCCAUGCCGCGUGUAUGAAGAAGGCCUUCGGGUUGUAAAGUA
rnacentral:rRNA from 1 species